ensembl:lncRNA
GGUCCCUCCCCAUCCCCUUCCCUCGAACAGUUCUACUCUCCCUCUCUCUCCCUCUCUCUCUGUCUUUCUCUCCCCUCCCUGGCCCCCCUCUCCCUAGCCUCUUUUCCUCUUGGCCCCUUUCCCUCCUCUAUCCCUCCUCGGCGUCUGCGUCAGGCCCCUACUUGCGUGACGCGCGGGGUCUGGGUGGGAGCUGUCCACUCGCCUGGGGUGCUGAAUGCAGCAGCGGCGGCGGCGGCGGCGGCAGCGGAGAUAGAUGAGAGCCUUCUCGGCUCCAAGAAUCUUGUUUCCAUUCCUCGGACGGUCAGCUCACCGCCCCGCCACCUCUCUUCCAUCACCACCCCUUUGGGAACUGAGCCAGGGGGGCAGCAGUCGCGGCGGCGGGUGCUGAGCAACGGCGGAAGACGAGACAACACCUGGCAGCAGCCUGGAAUCUGAUUUGCUUCCUCUCGCCUUUUAUAAGAGAUAUAUUUAUAUACGGUUUUGAGGAGUCGCAAGGACCAAGCCGGAGCCAAGUGCGGGCUGUCUCCCACCUCGGCCACACUGCUUCAUUUCCCCCUCCCCACCUGCAACUGGCACCGCAAACAAGCCUUACCUCGUUGCAUCUGCGAGGAGCCGCCCCCACCCCUACGCCUGCCUCGCCUCCGGUUGCAUGGCAGCGCUGCCCGGGCGCGGGGGCUCAGAGCCGGCCCCCAGGGAAGGAGGAGGAGGAGGCGGAGGAUCAUGAAGCCGGGAGUCGCGGACGCGCCGGACGGCGAGCAGCAGCCAGAGGACGAGCCGGAGCAACCCCCGCCCCGGAGACACCGGGACGCCGACCAGCGUUCACUGCCGCCGCCACAGCAGCAUCAGCGGCCACGGGCAGACUCGGAGCAAGAGGAGAAGGGCGCCAGCGGCCCAGAAGAGGAAGAGGAAGAGAAGGAGAGGCCACUCACCCGCCCGGAUCUGCCCUUCUCCCGCCCCUUGCCUCUCGCCCCAAGAGACCUUUGAUGGAGCCAAGGGGAAGGGGCCACGGAUUUACAGACUGCCUCAGGGGUGGGCUGGGGGCUGAAAUCAUGUAACUACUCCUUCCUCCUGUCUGUUCCCACACGCCCCUUUUCUCUAUCCCAUCUCUCUGCUCCACUGCCUCCCGUCCCCUAUACACUCACCCUUCCUCUAGCCAGGAUCCUAAUGCUCAGGAAGGAAGCAGAUCUGCAAGAGUUAAACGAUCUUUUCUUCCCUCCUUCUUUCCCCCUCGCCAGCCCAUUAUUUUCCCACUUCUAUUCUCCUAAUUGACUUUUCCCUCUUCUGUGCAACCCUUUAGCUGCAACAGCAAAGCACAAGCCCCUUGCCCAAUUUCACCGGCAAUUCCUCCUCCCUGCCCCCUCACCCCCCAUCCAACUGCUCUCUUAAAAGUAACUCUGGUGCUUCUGGGGAUUAAUUGCCCCAGUUUUCUGCCCAGGAGAAUUAAAACUUCUCCCAACCUCCUCUCCUCCCCACUGUACACCCCCCACCCCCACAACCGAUCACCUGAUACCUGAGGAAAACUAUUUCUCUCUGCACAUGCAGUACUCAAUUUUUCACUGGGCUGAUUUGCCCUAAGCCCAGCUCAGUCCACUCCAAAUUUGAUUUAUAAUCUUCCUCACCCUUUUAUACAAAAGAAAAGAAAUUUCCCACUGCCUAGGAAUUUGAGAAGAACCCAAAAAUCUUCUCCUGGGAAACUUUCUAACAACUAGACCUUGAUCUCAAGGCCUAAACAGCUCUUCCUCAACAUUUUUAAAACCCCCCUUCUCCUCCCAGUGCCCUCAAGUCAAAGGCCAAAAGGAGACACCCUGAGCAAAGCUAAGGUUGCGGGAGGGAGGAAAGAAAACCUUUUUUGUUGUUGUUGGGCUUUCCGGGGAGAGUUCAAAAUCAGUGACUUACAGUUCUAAGUCCUGGGGGCAGUUGAUUUGCUACUUGGAAGGGGUUUAAGAGGAACCAGUGAGAAAGCAGAUCCUCCCAAAACACAGCUUCGCUGUGGACCCCCCCAAAACCAUUCUACUAUCUUCUUCUGAAAAGACUCCAGCUGCCCCUCCCGGGC